CAAAAUUUAACAUAAAAAUAAUGUGUCUCACUUACAUUGAGGAAAUAAUUAUAUAUAAUUAGUUUUGA
rnacentral:tRNA from 1 species